rnacentral:rRNA from 1 species
GUCCCGAGCGUUAUCCGGAUUUAUUGGGCGUAAAGCGAGUGCAGGCGGUUCAAUAAGUCUGAUGUGAAAGCCUUCGGCUCAACCGGGGAAUUGCAUCAGAAACUGUUGAACUUGAGUGCAGAAGAGGAGAGUGGAACUCCAUGUGUAGCGGUGGAAUGCGUAGAUAUAUGGAAGAACACCAGUGGCGAAAGCGGCUCUCUGGUCUGUAACUGACGCUGAGGCUCGAAAGCAUGGGUAGCGAAC